UGUAGAUAUCUGAGCGUACUUUUAAAUAAGUCAAAACUUUCAACAACGGAUCUCUUGGUUCUGGCAUCGAUGAAGAACGCAGCGAAAUGCGAUAAGUAAUGUGAAUUGCAGAAUUCAGUGAAUCAUCGAAUCUUUGAACGCACAUUGCGCCCAUUAGUACUCUAGUGGGCAUGCCUGUUCGAGCGUCAUUACGACCCUUAAGCCUAGCUUAGUAUUGGGAACCUACGUGCGGCAGCUACCCUGUAGCUACCCUGUAGCUCCUUAAAGACAACGGCGGAGACGUGGAGUCCUCUGAGCUUAGUAACUUUUCUAGCUUCUGAGGGCGCCGCGGCCCCUGCCGUAAAACCCCAACUUUUAGUGGUUGACCUCGGAUCAGGUAGGAAUACCCGCUGAACUUAAGCAUAUCAAUAAGCGGAGGAAAAGAAACCAACAGGGAUUGCCUUAGUAACGGCGAGUGAAGCGGCAACAGCUCAAAUUUGAAAGCUGGCCUUCGGGUCCGCGUUGUAAUUUGUAGAGGAUGCUUUUGGUUAGGUGCCUUACGAGUUCCCUGGAACGGGACGCCUUAGAGGGUGAGAGCCCCGUACGUUUGGUUACCGAGCCUCUGUAAAGCUCCUUCGACGAGUCGAGUAGUUUGGGAAUGCUGCUCUAAAUGGGAGGUAAAUUUCUUCUAAAGCUAAAUACCGGCCAGAGACCGAUAGCGCACAAGUAGAGUGAUCGAAAGAUGAAAAGCACUUUGAAAAGAGGGUUAAAUAGCACGUGAAAUUGUUGAAAGGGAAGCGUUUAUGACCAGACUUUUUCCUAGCGGAUCAUCCGGCGUUCUCGCCGGUGCACUUCG
rnacentral:rRNA from 1 species